rnacentral:rRNA from 1 species
UACGAAGGGGGCUAGCGUUGCUCGGAAUCACUGGGCGUAAAGCGCACGUAGGCGGCUUCUAAGUCAGGGGUGAAAUCCUGGAGCUCAACUCCAGAACUGCCUUUGAUACUGAGGAGCUUGAGUCCGGGAGAGGUGAGUGGAACUGCGAGUGUAGAGGUGAAAUUCGUAGAUAUUCGCAAGAACACCAGUGGCGAAGGCGGCUCACUGGCCCGGUACUGACGCUGAGGUGCGAAAGCGUGGGGAGCAAACAGG